rnacentral:rRNA from 1 species
GUCGAGCGGUAAGGCCCUUCGGGGUACACGAGCGGCGAACGGGUGAGUAACACGUGGGUGAUCUGCCUUGCACUUCGGGAUAAGCCUGGGAAACUGGGUCUAAUACCGGAUAUGACCUUCCAGUGCAUGCUGGUUGGUGGAAAGAUUUAUCGGUGCGAGAUGGGCCCGCGGCCUAUCAGCUUGUUGGUGAGGUAACGGCUCACCAAGGCGACGACGGGUAGCCGACCUGAGAGGGUGACCGGCCACACUGGGACUGAGACACGGCCCAGACUCCUACGGGAGGCAGCAGUGGGGAAUAUUGCACAAUGGGCGAAAGCCUGAUGCAGCGACGCCGCGUGCGGGAUGACGGCCUUCGGGUUGUAAACCGCUUUUGACAGGGACGAAGCGCGAGUGACUGUACCUGUAGAAUAAGGACCGGCCAACUACGUGCCAGCAGCCGCGGUAAUACGUAGGGUCCGAGCGUUGUCCGGAAUUACUGGGCGUAAAGAGCUUGUAGGCGGUUCGUCGCGUCGUUUGUGAAAACUUGGGGCUCAACCUUAAGCUUGCAGGCGAUACGGGCGGACUAGAGUACUUCAGGGGAGACUGGAAUUCCUGGUGUAGCGGUGAAAUGCGCAGAUAUCAGGAGGAACACCGGUGGCGAAGGCGGGUCUCUGGGAAGUAACUGACGCUGAGAAGCGAAAGCAUGGGUAGCAAACAGGAUUAGAUACCCUGGUAGUCCAUGCCGUAAACGGUGGGUACUAGGUGUGGGGCUCCUUCCACGGACUCCGUGCCGUAGCUAACGCAUUAAGUACCCCGCCUGGGGAGUACGGCCGCAAGGCUAAAACUCAAAGAAAUUGACGGGGGCCCGCACAAGCGGCGGAGCAUGUGGAUUAAUUCGAUGCAACGCGAAGAACCUUACCUGGGUUUGACAUACACCAGAAAGCGGCAGAGAUGUGGCCCCCCUUGUGGUUGGUGUACAGGUGGUGCAUGGCUGUCGUCAGCUCGUGUCGUGAGAUGUUGGGUUAAGUCCCGCAACGAGCGCAACCCUUAUCUUAUGUUGCCAGCGCGUAAUGGCGGGGACUCGUGAGAGACUGCCGGGGUCAACUCGGAGGAAGGUGGGGACGACGUCAAGUCAUCAUGCCCCUUAUGUCCAGGGCUUCACACAUGCUACAAUGGCCGGUACAGAGGGCUGCGAUACCGUGAGGUGGAGCGAAUCCCUUAAAGCCGGUCUCAGUUCGGAUCGGGGUCUGCAACUCGACCCCGUGAAGUUGGAGUCGCUAGUAAUCGCAGAUCAGCAACGCUGCGGUGAAUACGUUCCCGGGCCUUGUACACACCGCCCGUCACGUCAUGAAAGUCGGUAACACCCGAAGCCGGUGGCCUAACCCCUUGUGGGAGGGAGCCGU